GAACUGCGAUAAGUAAUGUGAAUUGCAGAAUUCAGUGAAUCAUCGAGUCUUUGAACGCACAUUGCGCCCCCUGGCAUUCCGGGGGGCAUGCCUGUCCGAGCGUCAUUGCUGCCCUUCAAGCCCGGCUUGUGUGUUGGGUCGUCGUCCCCUCCGGGGGACGGGCCCGAAAGGCAGCGGCGGCACCGCGUCCGGUCCUCGAGCGUAUGGGGCUUUGUCACCCGCUCGAUAAGGACCGGCCGGGCGCCAGCCGGCGUCUACAACCUUUUUUUCUCAGGUUGACCUCGGAUCAGGUAGGGAUACCCGCUGAACUUAAGC
rnacentral:misc_RNA from 1 species